rnacentral:rRNA from 1 species
GAUGAACGCUGGCGGCGUGCCUAAUACAUGCAAGUCGAGCGGAAAGGCGCGGAGCUUGCGGCGUUGACGUGAGGGGAGGGGGGGUGAGUAACGCGAGGAAAAUCUACCUGUAAGAGGGGGAAAACCAGGGGAAAGGGGAGAAAAUAGGGGAGGAGAUUUUGAAGCGCAGGGGGGAAAGGUGAGAGACGGUGGUGGGGGAAGGAAUAGAGGGAUCUGAGCUGGAUGGGCUGGUUGGUAAGGUAAAGGCUUACCAAGGCAAGGAGGCAUAGCCGACCUGUGGGGGUGAUCGCCCACACUGGAACUUGGCCACGCUCCAGACUCCUACGGGAGGCAGCAGUCGGGAACCUUCCGCAGUGGGCGAAAGCCUUACGGAGCAACGCCGCGUGAGUUAUGAAGGUCUUCGGUUCGUAAAACCCUGUUAUUAGGUAAGAACCUAUUUCUAAGUUACUGUGCACAUCGUGACGGUACCUAAUCAGAAAGCCACGGCUAACUACGUG